rnacentral:siRNA from 1 species
GGCUCGUCGUGGUAACGGUCA